UGGGGGAUAUUGCACAAUGGGGGAAACCCUGAUGCAGCAAUGCCGCGUGAGGGAAGAAGGCCUUCGGGUUGUAAACCUAAGUUGUCAGGGACGAAACAUGACGGUACCUGAAGAGAAAGCUCCGGCUAACUACGUGCCAGCAGCCGCGGUAAUACGUAGGGAGCGAGCGUUGUCCGGAUUUACUGGGUGUAAAGGGUGCGUAGGCGGGUUUGCAAGUCAGACGUGAAAUGCCGGGGCUUAACCCCGGAGCUGCGUUUGAAACUGUAGAUCUGGAGUGAAGUAGAGGCAGGCGGAAUUCCUAGUGUAGCGGUGAAAUGCGUAGAUAUUAGGAGGAACACCAGUGGCGAAGGCGGCCUGCUGGGCUUUAACUGACGCUGAGGCACGAAAGCAUGGGGAGCAAACA
rnacentral:rRNA from 1 species